rnacentral:misc_RNA from 1 species
AUAGUAACUAGGAAGAUUGGUCCGUGGCUACUGCUUCCAUGUCUUCCAUCUUCCACAGUUGCUUCCUGUACGCUUUUCUCCUUUAUCCAUGCCUUCUCUUCUCUUGGAAACGGCGCUCAUGCUUUUGAAGGAAGAAAAAUUGCAGAAAGCCACCAUCUUCUUACCAUUUAAGUCAGCGAUUUGCUUCCAUCAACUGCUUGCAAACACUCUACCAAAGGUGACUAAACAUUAUUAUCAUUAAGCUGCUCCUAAAAAUUUAAGCAUUUUAAUUUUGUCCUGAAAUAUUUUCUUUCAAUGAGCAUAAACAUUACUGCUAAAGGGCGACUGUUGGCUGCUAAGAAAAGUUCCAAGUGCAGCCAACGUUCCAACAAUUUCAAUAUAUGAAAACGACACUCCAAUUACUCAACUCAAUAAUGCAAUUGAUCUCUCCCCUAAUUUGAUGUAGUCAAUCAUCUCAUUCAAUAAUACAAAAUCCAUCUAUCAUUGUUCAGUUGCAGAAAACAGGGCAGCCUUUAAGAUCGUCAUUCCUUAACAUGUGCGUUCGGCCACCUAUACGGUGACGGAUCAUACACUUUUGGAUUCAUGGGCAAAGAAAGGCUAAGCAUAGGAGCCACUGACGUAUUUGACAAUUUCUACUUCAUUUGUAGCCAGAUUGAUGAAGGAUUCGAAAAUGUCGCCUGCUUGAUUGGUCUUGGCCAAGGUAAGUUAUCCAUUGUCAACCAAACGGCUUCAAAAUCCCACAACGUUUUUUUGUCCCGUCUCCCAGCCUUCGAUCAAACCGGCUUUCUCAGUUUCGGCACCUCACUAUCAAAAUCCGCUAAAUAUAUCCCGCGUUUCGGCACCUCACUAUGAAAUUCCGCUAAAUAUAUCCCGCUAUCUUCUGAUUCCAUCUUUUACAGCGUCAGCCUCACUGGAAUCAUUGUUAACGGCCGAAGACUUUCAAUCCCCGCAUCUGUGUUUUCUAGAGCAGACAUGAUUAUUGACUCCGGCACUACAUUCACACAGCUGCCGCCAGAAGCUUACUCUGCUUUCCGUUCAGCAUUCACGUAAGCAAUGUCCAAGUAUCCAAAGGCUAGGCCACUACCAACACUGGGUCUGGACACUUGCUAUGAUUUCAGCAAAAAUGAAACUAUUAGUGUACCAAGUAUUGUGUUGUCUUUUAAUGGAGUUGAUGUUGAAAUUGAUACAGUGAUGCGUCCCUA